rnacentral:rRNA from 1 species
UACGUAGGGUGCGAGCGUUAAUCGGAUUUACUGGGCGUAAAGCGUGCGCAGGCGGCCCGUUAAGACAGGUGUGAAAUCCCUGGGCUCAACCUAGGAAUUGCGCUUGUGACUGGCGGGCUCGAGUACGGUAGAGGGGGGUGGAAUUCCUGGUGUAGCAGUGAAAUGCGUAGAGAUCAGGAGGAACACCGAUGGCGAAGGCAGCCCCCUGGGCCUGUACUGACGCUCAUGCACGAAAGCGUGGGGGGCAAACAGG